rnacentral:lncRNA from 1 species
GAGCUCUGUCUAUCUGCCAGGGCACCUGCCCCACACCAUUUACUGUGCCUCUUUGACAUUGCCAUCUGCCUUACUGCCGAGAUUUCCAUGUCGGGCAGGCUUGCCAGUGAAUUCCCCUCAUACUCCGUUCCGCUUGGCUGCCUGAAUUUACACUGCCUUUUGAUGAGUCUUUGCUGGAGUUUCAGUCACGCCCUAAUUGAUUGGUCUAGAUGUGAGGUUCUGGCCAUCCUCAUCUGCUCCCAUAGCUGAGCAAAAUGGGGUUGUCUGUGACAGCUCGAUGUGCCACAGAUUGGCACUGGGCAUCCACAUUGAUGCUCAUGGUCUCGACCUGGGUACCAACCAACUUAGAGCACAUCUCCUUGUCACUUUGGCCACACAGCAGACAGGUGAUGAUGGACACAGACCACAGCUGCACAUUGCCCUGAAGACUCCGAUUAUUAGUUUUUCUCAAAGAUGUUGCUUGGAUCUCAGGUUUUUUUUGCUAUUUGACGAGGAAACAAAUGAUCGCAGCAACGUAUACUAUGGUGAGGGAUAAAAACCUAACCUUUUAUGGGAGCAACAUGAGCCAGAAAUUUUAAUUUUUUAAGUGUGAAAAUGUCUUACUUCUGAAAUAGAAGAUAUGUUUGGAGAGAUGCUUUGUGGUUCUUGUGAUACCCUACUAAAACUCUAG